AGAUAGGUAAGCUAAAAUAAGCUAUCAGGUUCAUACCCUGCCUAUAGAGAUAUUAAAAACUCUCCUAUCUA
rnacentral:tRNA from 1 species